rnacentral:rRNA from 1 species
GCUUAACACAUGCAAGUCGAGCGAGAAUCGUUUAUUGAAGGCUUCGGCUGGAAAUAGAUGAGGAAAGCGGCGAACGGGUGAGUAACGCGUGGGCAACCUGGCCUUAAGAAAAGGAUAGCCCCCGGAAACGGGGAGUAAUACUUUAUGAGAAUGAGAGAGGGCAUCCUACUUUCAUUCAAAGCGCAAGCGCUUAAGGAUGGGCCCGCGUAUCAUUAGCUAGUUGAUGAGAUAACAGCCCACCAAGGCAACGAUGAUUAGCCGGUCUGAGAGGGCGAACGGCCACAUUGGAACUGAGAGACGGUCCAAACUCCUACGGGAGGCAGCAGUGGGGAAUAUUGCGCAAUGGAGAAGAACUCUGACGCAGCAAUACCGCGUGAGCGAAGAAGGUCUUCGGAUCGUAAAGCUCUGUUAUCAGGGAAGAAGAAAAUGACGGUACCUGAUGAGCAAGUCCCGGCUAACUACGUGCCAGCAGCCGCAGUAACAC